UACGAAGGGGGCUAGCGUUGCUCGGAAUUACUGGGCGUAAAGCGCACGUAGGCGGCUUCUUAAGUCGGUGGUGAAAUCCUGGAGCUCAACUCCAGAACUGCCUUCGAUACUGGGAAGCUCGAGUCCGGGAGAGGUGAGUGGAACUGCGAGUGUAGAGGUGAAAUUCGUAGAUAUUGCAAGAACACCAGUGGCGAAGGCGGCCUCACUGGCCCGGUACUGACGCUGAGGUGCGAAAGCGUGGGGAGCAAACAGGG
rnacentral:rRNA from 1 species